GUAUUCCUCGCUUUGGCAGCACAUGUACUAAAAUUGGAACGAUACAGAGAAGAUUAGCAUGGCCCCGUGCAAGGACGACAUGCGAAUCUGUGAAGUGUCCCAUAAAUUA
ensembl:snRNA U6 U6 spliceosomal RNA